GGGAAGUGGGUGUCAGCUUUGCGAGUUUUAAAAGCCCAAGCAAGGCCCAGUUCUCCCCCUCCUUAUCUGCGAAUGGUUCAGGGUGUCUCUGAACUACUUGCUCCAGUGCCAGCCAACAUGCCGCCAUGUUCCCUGCCGUGCUGAUAACGGACUAAACAUCUGAAACACACAUGGAGACAUCAGAAGGCAGCACUGGAUACCCUGCAACUUGAGGAGUUAUGGAUGGAUGAUAUAGGGGCUACCAUUGGUGUUAGGCACUGAACCCUGGUCCUUUGUAAGAACAAAUGCUCUUAACCACUGAGUCACCUCUUCAGACCCCUAAACCUUAAAUAAAACCAAAACAAGAUAAUUCUGGAA